rnacentral:rRNA from 1 species
AACCCUUGAUUUUAUACAGUAUCUUCUGAGUAAAUGAUUAAAUAAAUCAAAACUUUCAACAACGGAUCUCUUGGUUCUGGCAUCGAUGAAGAACGCAGCGAAAUGCGAUAAGUAAUGUGAAUUGCAGAAUUCAGUGAAUCAUCGAAUCUUUGAACGCACAUUGCGCCCGCCAGUAUUCUGGCGGGCAUGCCUGUUCGAGCGUCAUUUCAACCCUCAAGCCCCCGGGCUUGGUGUUGGAGAUCGGCGUGCCCUCCGGGGCGCGCCGGCUCCCAAAUAUAGUGGCGGUCUCGCUGUAGCUUCCUCUGCGUAGUAGCACACCUCGCACUGGAAAACAGCGUGGCCACGCCGUUAAACCCCCCACUUCUGAAAGGUUGACCUCGGAUCAGGUAGGAAUACCCGCUGAACUUAAGCAUAUCAAUAAGCGGAGGA